GAUGAACGCUGGCGGCGUGCCUAAUACAUGCAAGUCGAACGCUGGAAAUCUAGCUUGCUAGAUUGAAGGAGUGGCGAACGGGUGAGUAAUACAUAAGCAACCUACCCACGAAGACUGGGAUAAUCUCUGGAAACGGGGACUAGUACCGGAUAGGUAAUCGGAAGGCAUCUUCUGAUUAUUAAAGGUUAAAAACACUGGUGGAUGGGCUUAUGGCGCAUUAGUUAGUUGGUGAGGUAACGGCCCACCAAGACGAUGAUGCGUAGCCGGCCUGAGAGGGUGAACGGCCACAUUGGGACUGAGACACGGCCCAGACUCCUACGGGAGGCAGCAGUAGGGAAGUUUCGGCAAUGGGGGAAACCCUGACCGAGCAACGCCGCGUGAGUGAUGACGGCCUUCGGGUUGUAAAGCUCUGUUGUAAGGGAAGAACGGUAGAUAGAGAAUAUCUAAAUGACGGUACCUUACCAGAAAGCCACGGCUAACUACGUG
rnacentral:rRNA from 1 species